rnacentral:lncRNA from 1 species
GAGGCUGAUGUUCGUUAACUUGCGGAUAUCUAUUGCGACGAGUUGCGUUGCGCUUUUAGGGUUCCGCAGUAGUUUCACGUUAAACGUUGGUACGUCGCCGAGAAACACAAGCCUUUGCCGAAUGAGCCAGCGUCGUAUUUCACCUUUCUUCGGAGGAUUCAUACCGUGCUGUUCAGCGCCGGCUUAGCACAGAGGAAUCGAUGUGUGGACAAAAAGAGAAUGCAAUCACCAUGUCAAACUUCGUACAUUCAAGAAAGCUUGAUAUCAGUAAUAAAUAUUUGCCUCUUGACAGGCAGCUGGUACUGAAAGACUGAACAUA